ACGGGUGAGUAGCGCGUGGAUAAUCUGCCCUGGUAUCUGGGAUAACAUUUCGAAAGGGGUGCUAAUACCGGAUAAGCCCACGGGGACUUUGGUCUUUGCGGGAAAAGGUGGGGACCUUCGGGCCUACUGUAUCAUGAUGAGUCCGCGUACCAUUAGCUGGUUGGCGGGGUAACGGCCCACCAAGGCGACUAUGGUUAGCUGGUCUGAGAGGAUGAUCAGCCACACUGGAACUGAUACACGGUCCAGACUCCUACGGGAGGCAGCAGUGGGGAAUUUUGCGCAAUGGGGGAAACCCUGACGCACCAUCGCCGCGUGAGUGAUGAAGGCCUUCGGGUCGUAAAGCUCUGUCAGAGGGAAAGAAGUGUAUUAUGGCUAAUACCCAUGAUACUUGACGGUACCCUCAAAGGAAGCACCGGCUAACUCCGUGCCAGCAUCCGCGGUAAUACCGAGGGUGCGAGCGUUGUUCGGAAUUAUUGGGCGUAAAGCGCGUGUAGGCGGUUUUUUAAGUCUGAUGUGAAAGCCCCGGGCUCAACCCGGGAAGUGCAUUGGAAACUGGGAGACCUGAAUACGGGAGAGGGUAGUGGAAU
rnacentral:rRNA from 1 species